GGGUUGAUCCUGGGCCGGAGGCUAUUGCUAUCGGGGGAUCCGAUUCCCAGGGUCAUGCUAGUCGCACGGGCUCAGACCCGGGUGGCGAAUAGCUCCGGAACACGUGGUCAAACUACCCUCUGGACUGGGAUACCCUCGGGAAACUGAGGCUUUAAUCCCGGAUACAGCUUGCAUGUUGGAAUACGGAAAGGCGGAAACGGUUUCCGCCGCCGGAGGACGUGAGGUUCUGCGGCCGAUUAGGUAGACGGUGGGGUAACGGCCCACCGUUGGGGCCGAUAAUCGGUACGGGUUGUGAGAGCAAGAACCCGGAGACGGACUCUGAGAGCAAGAGUCCGGGCCCUACCGGGCCGGGCAGCAGACGCGAAACCUUUAAACUGCAGCGACAGUGCGAUAAAGGGAUCCCGAGCGCGAGGG
rnacentral:rRNA from 1 species